GACGGACGCUGGCGGCGUGCCUAAUACAUGCAAGUAGAACGCUGAAGAGAGGAGCUUACUCUUCUUGGAUGAGUUGCGAACGGGUGAGUAACGCGUAGGUAACCUGCCUUGUAGCGGGGGAUAACUAUUGGAAACGAUAGCUAAUACCGCAUAACAAUGGAUGACACAUGUCAUUUAUUUGAAAGGGGCAAUUGCUCCACUACAAGAUGGACCUGCGUUGUAUUAGCUAGUAGGUGAGGUAAUGGCUCACCUAGGCGACGAUACACAGCCGACCUGAGAGGGUGAUCGGCCACACUGGGACUGAGACACGGCCCAGACUCCUACGGGAGGCAGCAGUAGGGAAUCUUCGGCAAUGGGGGCAACCCUGACCGAGCAACGCCGCGUGAGUGAAGAAGGUUUUCGGAUCGUAAAGCUCUGUUGUAAGUCAAGAACGGGUGUGAGAGUGGAAAGUUCACACUGUGACGGUAGCUUACCAGAAAGGGACGGCUAACUACGUG
rnacentral:rRNA from 1 species